rnacentral:tRNA from 2 species
AUCUAAAUAGUUUAUUUAAAAUAUUGAUUUGUGGUGUCAAUGAUAUGAUUGAUCAUUUUAGAUC